AGUGAACGCUGGCGGUAGGCCCAACACAUGCAAGUCGAACGGCAGCACAGUAAGAGCUUGCUCUUACGGGUGGCGAGUGGCGGACGGGUGAGGAAUACAUCGGAAUCUACUUUUUCGUGGGGGAUAACGUAGGGAAACUUACGCUAAUACCGCAUACGACCUACGGGUGAAAGCAGGGGAUCUUCGGACCUUGCGCGAUUGAAUGAGCCGAUGUCGGAUUAGCUAGUUGGCGGGGUAAAGGCCCACCAAGGCGACGAUCCGUAGCUGGUCUGAGAGGAUGAUCAGCCACACUGGAACUGAGACACGGUCCAGACUCCUACGGGAGGCAGCAGUGGGGAAUAUUGGACAAUGGGCGCAAGCCUGAUCCAGCCAUACCGCGUGGGUGAAGAAGGCCUUCGGGUUGUAAAGCCCUUUUGUUGGGAAAGAAAAGCAGCAGGUUAAUACCCCGCUGCUCUGACGGUACCCAAAGAAUAAGCACCGGCUAACUUCGUG
rnacentral:rRNA from 1 species